GCCUCCUUAGCUCAGCGGUAGAGCACUUCCAUGGUUAGGAAGGGGUCCCCGGUUCGAUUCCGGGAGGAGGCU
rnacentral:tRNA from 1 species